UAAUACAUGCAAGUCGAGCGGACUUGAUGGAGUGCUUGCACUCCUGAGAGUUAGCGGCGGACGGGUGAGUAACACGUAGGCAACCUGCCCUCGAGACUGGGAUAACUACCGGAAACGGUAGCUAAUACCGGAUAAUUUAUUUCACAGCAUUGUGGAAUAAUGAAAGACGGAGCAAUCUGUCACUUGGGGAUGGGCCUGCGGCGCAUUAGCUAGUUGGUGGGGUAAUGGCUCACCAAGGCGACGAUGCGUAGCCGACCUGAGAGGGUGAACGGCCACACUGGGACUGAGACACGGCCCAGACUCCUACGGGAGGCAGCAGUAGGGAAUCUUCCGCAAUGGGCGAAAGCCUGACGGAGCAACGCCGCGUGAGUGAUGAAGGUUUUCGGAUCGUAAAGCUCUGUUGCCAAGGAAGAACGUCUUCUAGAGUAACUGCUAGGAGAGUGACGGUACUUGAGAAGAAAGCCCCGGCUAACUACGUGCCAGCAGCCGCGGUAAUACGUAGGGGGCAAGCGUUGUCCGGAAUUAUUGGGCGUAAAGCGCGCGCAGGCGGUCUUUAAAGUCUGGUGUUUAAACCCGAGGCU
rnacentral:rRNA from 1 species